rnacentral:tRNA from 2 species
UGCCCUAUCGUCUAAUUGGCAGGACAGCGGUUUUUGGUACCGUAUGUCUAGGUUCGAGUCCUAGUAGGGCAACAA